rnacentral:rRNA from 1 species
GGACGACCUUCGGGAGCUUGUACAGGUACUGCAUGGCUGUCGUCAGCUCGUGUCGUGAGAUGUUCGGUUAAGUCCGCUAACGAGCGCAACCCUCGCUGUGUGUUACAAGUGUCACACGGAACUGCCGGUCAUAAACCGGAGGAAGGUGGGGAUGACGUCAAGUCAGCAUGGCCUUUAUAUCCUGGGCUACACACACGCUACAAUGGGAAGGGACAAUAGGUUGCGAAGCCGCGAGGCGGAGCCAAUCCAGCAAAACUUCCCUCAGUUCAGAUUGCAGGCUGCAACUCGCCUGCAUGAAGUUGGAGUUGCUAGUAAACGCAGGUCAGCCAUACUGCGUUGAAUACGUUCCCGGGGCUU